rnacentral:sRNA from 1 species
UUUUCUCAUGCUCCACUGACUCCUGAAACACAAGAAUUGUUGGCUAAAGUUUUGGAUACUGAAAAGAAGUCAUGUGAAUAAAAUAAACAUAAAAAGGUAAAAUUAGAAUUUACCACAUUUCUUUUUUUCUUGUCUGAACAUCUCCAGAAGUUGGCAUGCAACCUCAAUAGGGUUCUCAAAUAGAAGUAUUUUUCUUCUUCCUCCCCCACUAAAAAAGAAUUAUAAAAUAUUUGAUAUAUUUACAUACCUAUAUGGAUCUACAUCAGCCUGCUUCCUUGUGUGGGCUUGUCUAUCAGGUAGCAAUGUACAGAUAAAGAGUACUUAACGCCCAUGCCUGUUCAAGACUGUUCAAGACUGGUGAUUUGGAGUAGUUUACAAGAUUCCUCAUUCAGAGUGCCUCUUGUGUGAUUGGGGUGACGUGCAGCUUCCAUAAUGGAUGGGACAGAGAGCUGGGAUCUAAUGUACAAGUGAAGGGCUUGGUCUUCACUGAGACAUUCCAGCCAUUGGAAUAGGAGAGGAGCAUAUAUGUCAGAGAUGAUGGCUGGUGGGUAAAUGUGAUAGUAAAUUGUAGAAACCUCUUCUGAUUGAUUGGAUUUCCUUAAUAAAAUAGGAAGCAAGGUUAGGCUGAGUGAGGGUGGGUGAAGAGGUAGAGGAGGUUUGAGGAGAGAGAACUGCUCAGAAGACAUUGGUAGAUGGACCAUAAAAACAGGGUUAGUCCUCUUUAUGACAUUAAAUAGUUUCACAACAUAUUUUUAAUGGUUGUUCACAAUUUCAUUUUAGGGCUUAAAAUAAAUUAUGGUUCUAUGAUUUUUUUAAACCAAUUUCCUAUUGUUAGACAUUUGUUUCCAGUUUCUUACUAUU